CCAUACCCCCAUACUGCAUAAGCUAUUUGUGAUGCAUUGCACAAGUGCCUCCAAAGCUGGGAUAUUGAUCGGAGGGUAUCAACUGUCACUCUUGACAAUUGCAGCACCAAUGAUAGCAUGAUUGGGUUAAUGGAGACAAGGCUUGGUGCAACUAAUAUGCUUUUGAGAGGAAAAUGGCUGCAUAUGCGGUGCUGCGCACACAUUCUCAACCUCAUCGUCAAAGAUGGCAUGGAAGUCAUUGCAAGUGCAGUUUCAAACAUUCGAGACAGUAUUGCUUACUGGGUUGCUACACCAAAGAUAUGAUGGUGAUAGGGUCAAUAGCUUUUGGUCUUGCCUUGAAGACAUUCAGGAAGAAAUGAAAGAAGAUUCUUGCAUCACUACUGCUGAUUCCGACUGAUAUGAUUUCCAUUUGCUUGGUUCAACAGAACUUUUUAUGUAAUAAUGGUGUUGAACAAUAACUCUUGUAUGGUUGUAUGUUUUUCUUUGUGCAUCAGACUAUUUAUUUGUUGGCUUGUACUUGUACUAGACUA